rnacentral:rRNA from 1 species
GCCGAAAAUGUACCGGGGCUAAACAUAUUACCGAAGCUGUGGAUUGUCCUUUGGACAAUGGUAGGAGAGCGUUCUAAGGGCGUUGAAGCAUGAUCGUAAGGACAUGUGGAGCGCUUAGAAGUGAGAAUGCCGGUGUGAGUAGCGAAAGACGGGUGAGAAUCCCGUCCACCGAUUGACUAAGGUUUCCAGAGGAAGGCUCGUCCGCUCUGGGUUAGUCGGGUCCUAAGCUGAGGCCGACAGGCGUAGGCGAUGGAUAACAGGUUGAUAUUCCUGUACCACCUAUAAUCGUUUUAAUCGAUGGGGGGACGCAGUAGGAUAGGCGAAGCGUGCGAUUGGAUUGCACGUCUAAGCAGUAAGGCUGAGUAUUAGGCAAAUCCGGUACUCGUUAAGGCUGAGC